rnacentral:antisense_RNA from 1 species
AAUAACCAAAGAUUACAGCAGCGUUUGUUGUUGGGUUUGUAAUAAUACGAACGUCACCACCACCUGGUGCCCAAGUAUCAUAAACACCACCAAAAUAAAGAGCUUUUAAAACAAGUAACCAAGCCCCUAAACCUAACAUAAUAAGGUGAUAACCUAAAAUAUUAGUCAUUUUGUUUUUAUCUUUCCA